rnacentral:rRNA from 1 species
CCCUUAGAUGUUCUGGGCCGCACGCGUGCUACACUGAUGCAUUCAACGAGUCUAAAACCUGGUCUGAUAGGGCUGGGUAAUCUUUUGAAAGUGCAUCGUGAUUGGGAUAGAUGAUUGCAAUUCUUCAUCUUCAACGAGGAAUGCCUAGUAAACGCAAGUCAUCAGCUUGCAUUGAUUACGUCCCUGCCCUUUGUACACACCGCCCGUCGCUCCUACCGAUUGAAUGAUCCGAUGAAUACCAUGGAUUGAGAGUACGAAUAGGUGCGCUUAUUUCUGCUGCUCGAGAAGUGGAGUAAAUCUUAUCAUUUAGAGGAAGGAGAAGUCGUAACA